rnacentral:rRNA from 1 species
CAGCCGCCGCGGUAACACGGAGGAUCCAAGCGUUAUCCGGAAUCAUUGGGUUUAAAGGGUCCGUAGGCGGUCUUGUAAGUCAGUGGUGAAAGCCCAUCGCUCAACGGUGGAACGGCCAUUGAUACUGCAGGACUUGAAUUAUUGGGAAGUAACUAGAAUAUGUAGUGUAGCGGUGAAAUGCUUAGAGAUUACAUGGAAUACCAAUUGCGAAGGCAGGUUACUACCAAUUGAUUGACGCUGAUGGACGAAAGCGUGGGUAGCGAACAGGAUUAGAUACCCGCGUAGUCCCUGUCUCUUAUAA